CCAGGCCCUACGGGGUGCAGCAGGCGCGAAACCUCCGCAAUGUGAGAAAUCGCGACGGGGGGAUCCCAAGUGCCAUUCUUAACGGGAUGGCUUUUCAUUAGUGUAAAGAGCUUUUGGAAUAAGAGCUGGGCAAGAUCGGUGCCAGCCGCCGCGGUAACACCGGCAGCUCUAGUGGUAGCAGUUUUUAUUGGGCCUAAAGCGUCCGUAGCCGGUUUAAUAAGUCUCUGGUGAGAUCCUGCAGCUUAACUGUGGGAAUUGCUGGAGAUACUAUUAGACUUGAGAUCGGGAGAGGUUAGAGGUACUCCCAGGGUAGAGGUGAAAUUCUGUAAUCCUGGGAGGACCGCCUGUUGCGAAGGCGUCUGACUGGAACGAUUCUGACGGUGAGGGACGAAAGCUAGGGGCGCGAACCGGAUUAGAUACCCGGGUAGUCCUAGCUGUAAACGGUGCGGACUUGGUGUUGGGGUGGCUUUGAGCUGUCCCAGUGCCGAAGGGGAGCUGUUAAGUCCGCCGCCUGGGAAGUACGGUCGAAAGACUGAAACUUAAAGGAAUUGGCGGGGGAGCACCACAACGCGUGGAGCCUGCGGUUUAAUUGGAGUCAACGCCGG
rnacentral:rRNA from 1 species